rnacentral:rRNA from 1 species
CCUACGGGAGGCAGCAGUGAGGAAUAUUGGUCAAUGGGCGCGAGCCUGAACCAGCCAAGCCGCGUGAAGGAUGACUGCCCUACGGGUUGUAAACUUCUUUUAUAAAGGAAUAAAGUGAGGCACGUGUGCCUUUUUGUAUGUAUUUUAUGAAUAAGGAUAGGCUAACUCCGUGCCCGCAGCCGCGGUAAUACGGAGGAUCCGAGCGUUAUCCGAAUUUAUUGGUGUUGACGGGAGCGUAGAGGGGUUGUUAAGUCAGCGGUAAAAUGUACGGUCUCACCCGGGACCGGCAGUUGAAACUGGGGAUCUUGAGUGCGCGAGAGGUGUGCGGAAUGCGUGGUGUAGCGGUGAAAUGCGUAGAUAUCAGGCAGAACACCGAUGGCGAAGGCAGCAUACCGG